GGGGAAUAUUCGGCAAUGGGGGGAACCCUGACCGAGCAACGCCGCGUGGGUGAAGAAGUUUUUCGGAACGUAAAGCCUUGUCGUGAGGGAAGAAAGAGCUUUUCGUGAAAAGCGGAGAGAAGUGACGGUACCUUACAAGAAAGCUCCGGCUAACUACGUGCCAGCAGCCGCGGUAAUACGUAGGGAGCAAGCGUUGUCCGGAAUCAUUGGGCGUAAAGGGCGCGUAGGCGGUCUGAUAAGUCAAAUGUGAAAAUCCAGGGCUUAACUCUGGAAGUGCGUUUGAAACUGUGAGACUAGAGUACAGGAGAGGAAAGUGGAAUUCCUGGUGUAGCGGUGAAAUGCGUAGAGAUCAGGAAGAACAUCGAUGGCGAAGGCAGCUUUCUGGCCUGAAACUGACGCUGAGGCGCGAAAGCGUGGGGAGCAAAC
rnacentral:rRNA from 1 species